rnacentral:rRNA from 1 species
UACAGAGGUCUCAAGCGUUGUUCGGAUUCAUUGGGCGUAAAGGGCGUGUAGGCGGUCAAGUAAGUGGAAUGUGAAAGCCCCCGGCUUACCCGGGGAUCUGCAUCCCAAACUGCUUGGCUUGAGUACGGGAGAGGAUAGGGGAAUUCCUGGUGUAGCGGUGAAAUGCGUAGAUAUCAGGAGGAACACCGAUGGCGAAGGCAGCUCGCUGGGACGGUACUGACGCUGAGGCGCGAAAGCGUGGGGAGCAAACAGG